AUGGAAAUGCUAGGGUCACUUCCCAACCUCAUGCAGCUUCGUCUUGAAAGGGAUGCUUAUAUUGGGGAGAAGUUGGCGUUCAAAACGGGAGCAUUCCCAAAUCUCAAGAAGCUCGGUAUUCGUGAUCUGGAUGAACUGAUAGAGUUGAAAUUUGAGGAUGGCACCUCACCCCAGCUGGCAAUGAUACAUAUCUGCUGGUGCGAGUUGAGAUCAGGAAUUACCGGAGUCAACCACCUUCCAAAGCUCCAGGAGAUCUCACUUGGUUUCGGUGGUCGAGUGGCGAAGCUUGCUAUGCUGCAAAGUGAAGUGGAUGCACAUACCAACAGUCCCGUGCUGCGACUGUACAAUGAACGGAGCGGCCACGACCUGUGGGACGUCUUUGUCCAACUGGAAGACGUAACGGGGGAAUCCUCAUCUCUCCAUCCCGAGCCUGCAGCUGCAGGAGAGAGCUCACAGUCCCAAGCAGUGGGCAUGGCGACGGCAAACAUCAGUAACAGCCAAGAUGAUGUGCUUUACACUUACAACUCGUGCUGA
rnacentral:rRNA from 1 species